rnacentral:rRNA from 1 species
CCUACGGGGGGCAGCAGUGGGGAAUAUUGGACAAUGGGGGCAACCCUGAUCCAGCCAUGCCGCGUGUGUGAAGAAGGCCCUCGGGUUGUAAAGCACUUUCAGUGAGGAAGAACGCCUGGUGGUUAAUACCCAUCAGGAAAGACAUCACUCACAGAAGAAGCACCGGCUAACUCCGUGCCAGCAGCCGCGGUAAUACGGAGGGUGCGAGCGUUAAUCGGAAUUACUGGGCGUAAAGCGCGCGUAGGUGGCUUGAUAAGCCGGUUGUGAAAGCCCCGGGCUCAACCUGGGAACGGCAUCCGGAACUGUCAAGCUAGAGUGCAGGAGAGGAAGGUAGAAUUCCCGGUGUAGCGGUGAAAUGCGUAGAGAUCGGGAGGAAUACCAGUGGCGAAGGCGGCCUUCUGGACUGAAACUGACACUGAGGUGCGAAAGCGUGGGUAGCAAACAGGAUUAGAUACCCUAGUAGUC